AUGAAUUGAGCAGUUGUUAACUGAUUGAAGUGUCCUGAGUUAGGAAACUUAAUAUAUUUAAUGACUAGAGUAGUUAGUGACAUUCCAAACUAAUUUCGUCAAUAUAACCUAAAUUUCUUUCUGUGGUAAAACGUGGAGACAUCGAUUGCAUUUUCUUAUCAGCUUUAAAUAAUAUACUUUUGUGAUUUUGUAGUGCUUACAGUUCUUUCGUCCUUUUUUAUUUUUCUAUCUUAUUUUAAUAACUUUCAGCGCCUUUUUUACCCGGUUGCUCCUGUAGCGCCACCCUUAUUUAGCAGAUUUUAACGGACAAAGGUAGUUUUCCAAUUACAGAGCUACGCGUUAUGUACGCAGCUACGCAUUAGCGUUGCUGUAGUUGGAACAUUCAACGUUGAGCAUUAUGCCGCAUAAUGCGCUCUUGUGCUGUAAUUGGAAAACUACCACUUUUUACACAUAGAGACGGUUCUCCUUACCUCUACCCUCCAUAGUACCUACCUACAGAGCUGACAGUUUUUUGACGUGACAACGUCUUAUAAUUCGAUGGAGCCGGCUGCACGCACGAAAAAACAUGACUCAUUGAGGUGUUCCAUUUAAGGCUUGAAGUGCAAGCGACAGCGCGUAACGAGCGACAAAGAGGCACAAUCGGCGCGUUCUGCAGCGUUCGACAUCUGUCUCUAUAAUAAAACAAGGUUUUCAAGACAUAGCAUAAAAUAUAAUAAUGAUAGGUGGUAAAAUGACAAUGUGUUCGAAGUAUAUUUCAAAUAAUGGAAUAUGGAAAGGAAGGUUACAACAUUCCUCCCCAUCUACAUCUCAUUUAGAGAGUUAGACAGCGGGCUUCUGUAUACGUCGAUUACUGCGAAGCGGAGCAAAUGGCACAGGAGUGGAGACCGGAGCAGCUGGAGAUUUACCAGUGGACGAGUGCGGAGUGCUUCUGUAUUUAAACAAAAAUUCUAAUAGUCCGCGGUUGAGAUUUGUGUUGUCUACCGAUGCCAUUCUGAUUUUGAAUGCUCUGACUAAGCGUUCUGCCAGCCCAUUUGUCCGAGGAUGAUAUGGAGAUGAUGUAACAUAUAAAAUAGACUGUUUUAUGCAAUAUUCUUUAAAUUCAUAAGAUGUAAAUAACUAGAUUAAAUUUCGUUCCUCUCAA